UGAGAUUUUGUACCUAUACGCGAUUUUUCGUUCCCAAGGGAGAUUGAGAAUAUCUAUUUACGGAUCGAGGUCUUGGUCCGACGUUGGUACCAGUGGAAAAACAAAAUUUAAUAACGUUUUUAAAACACGAGCGUAAAUAACGACGUUUUGUAUUGCGUCAUCGUUCUAGAGCAGGGGUCAGGAACCUACGGCUCCUUAAAUGCAAUCUAUGGCUCUUUGAAAAAUGCAUCAAUAUCUAGACAUUCUAGAGCAUUCU